rnacentral:lncRNA from 1 species
ACUGAAGAAUCUCAAACCAGCAACCCUAACGGAGAUUGUGAAGGUUUUCAAAGUGGGGCACCUCGAUUUCUCGAAUCUGUGGUGUGGCGAAUAUCCGUGUUCUUCCGGCUUAACUAGCCUGUUUGAAAGAAAAUGCAAGGGGAAAUAUCUGAUACGGCUCUGUUAUUUGAUGCUUUGGGCAGCACUAUGCUCAGAAGUCAUUCAACUUCCUGCCAUCUCCCUAACUUGUAUUCUCUGGCAAAAUGAAGGUCUGAGACGUUUCUAAAAGACAGAGUUGGAAAUGAACCAUCAUUGGUGUUGACAGAGAUGCCAAGCAGUCACCUGAGUGCAUAUAGCGUUCUCAUCUUCUGAUUCACUAAAACUCCUCCCUUUUGCUUUUACUCUAUUUGAAUCUGUACUUCCGUUUGUACUGAUUCGGUGGAUGAAAGUGCUUGCUGUCAAGCCUGGUGACAUAAGUCGAUUCCUGGAAACUAUGUGACACAAAGGGAGAACUGACUCCUGAAAGAUGUCCUCGGAUCUUCACAUAUGCACAGUGGCACACGGCAUGUACCUAGCCAACCAUGCACAUAGUAUAUUAAAAUUAUUUUUAAAAA